rnacentral:lncRNA from 1 species
AGACUUUUGUAUUUAUAAUUUACAUGCGCAUAUAUUUUUGCACAUGUAUUACUUUGGGGUUAUACUUACCUGAUAGUCGAACUGUGAAUUAUCAGCGAAUUCUUCCAUGAGAACAAGAGUGUUAAUACUACUUAAUACCAAAAAAAAUAUAUUAAAAUAAAUACGUUAUUUUUAUUCAUGUAUUAACACAAAGACAUAUUUUUUUCCAAUAAUUUAUACGAUGUUCUAUAUUUAUUUUAUUUGGAGGAUA